rnacentral:lncRNA from 1 species
UUUAUAGUUUUUAUAUGUCCCAAAAUUUCAUUCCUUUGGUUUUCAUUUAAGUAUGACUGCCACCAUCCUUUUAACUGACCUAUAAAUCCAGCUAUUAUAAAUUUAACAAUUUCAUGAUCAGUGUUACCAUUCUGUUGGCAGAUUGUUGAAUACAUCAUUAUUCUAUGUAUUACAUCUAGGAUUUGUUUAUCAGACAUUCCAUCUAUGUUCCAUUCAUAGAUGUGUUUCCCAGAAUAAGAAUUCUGAAAUGGUUCUCUUUCUUCAUGUAAUACAUCUAAUGGAGAAGGCCUUUUAUAGUAGUAUUUUUCUAAUGGCCUAGACUCAUACUUAAUUGGGUUAACAUUUAACUCAUUCAUCUGUUCUUCAAACUUUUCUAAGUCCGAAAUAUUUUCUUAUGGUAAUUCUUCUUCUGAAUUUAUUUGAAGAUUUUGUUCAAGCAUAUUGCAUAUGUCUUCCGAACUACUUUCAUCUGAUUGUUCGCUAUCAGGGUUAGUCCUAGAAUUUCUAUUGACUACUCCUAUAUGAAUUCCUUUUAAUUUUUCUUCGAGAACUUUCAUAAAUUCUGCAUUUGGUUUUUGUAAUUUAAAAUUUUUUACUUCUGGUGGAGGCUGAAUAACAGGAGUCAUUGGUUCCUUAUUCUUUUCAGGUUUUUCCUUCAGUUUUUCUAGAAUUUGAAUAUCUCUUUCUAGAUCCUUAUGAAUUUCAUUUAAUUUUUUCUCUACUUGUAACAAUUCUG